GAGUAAGCAGGACGGGAGGGUUUUGUGCAGGAGCGUUUCCAGCUUUUUUCCGCGGACACGAGCCUGGACCCUCAGCUCCUUCAGGACCUUGUUUCUCUAAGGAUACCUGACAGCGCGUUGACGCGCAGCUUAAAGCGAACGGACGCAAAAAUACUGAGCUCACUUCAAGAAGUCAUAGCGUUUUAAGUUUUAUGCCGUUUUUUUUCCCACGCAAUAUUAACCAUGCACGCCUCUCUGGGGAUUGCUCACGCGCUCUGCAGGGAUCAGGCAUGCCCGUCUCGCGCCUGGUGACUUAUUUUGUGAGAGGAGAGCGCGAGGACGCUGGAGUCCCACACUGAGAACAGCGCGAGCGUUCAGCGGUCAGAUACUCGCUCGCUCCCUCAUCCACUCCCUUCCUCCCUCCCUCCGUCCCUCCCCGGCUGUGUCCGAGGGAUGGUGGUGGGUCCCUCGCGCUCAGGCUCAGGAGCCCCGCAGCACGCGCCGCUCCUCCACGCGCCGUCCGUCUGCUUUGGGGGGAAACCGAGUGAGGGGAGAUGAAGGCCGCCCUGUGCUGCUGCUUGAUCUUAACCUGCCUCAGGAUAAGCGCUGCUGAGGAGCUGGGGAUUCCUCAGGAUCUGAUGGACAGGCUCGCUCACAGUGAAAUCCACAGCAUUAGCGACCUCCAGCGGCUGCUGGACCUCCACUCCGGGCACUCUGCAGGUUCGGGAAAUGAAGUGAUGGAGCACUCCAAACAGAAGCACCACCAGAAAAGCCACUUGCAUCACCACAGUUACGAGCUCAAGAGCAACCAGAUGCACCGCAGGCGCAAGAGGAGUAUUGUAGAGGAGGCUGUGCCAGCUGUGUGUAAAACAAGAACGGUGAUCUACGAGAUCCCGCGCAGCCAGGUGGAUCCGACAGCCGCCAACUUCCUCAUCUGGCCCCCCUGCGUGGAGGUGAAGCGGUGCACAGGCUGCUGCAACACCAGCAAUAUGCGCUGCCACGCCUCAAAAAAACACCACCGCAUUGUUAAGGUGGCGAAGGUAGAGUUUGCAUCUCGUAAGAAGCCGAAGUUGAAGGAGGUUCUUGUUCGGUUAGAGGAUGAUGUGGAGUGUGUGUGUGUAUCACAGCACCAUGUGUCAGAACAUGUUGAAUCAGAUACAGGGCCCCGUAGGGUCAAAGGUAAAAAACGGAAAAACAGAAAAAAAACAGAUCCAUCCCAUCUCAGCAAGGAUUUAUUGGUGUCAUAAUAAAAACGGCAGACGUUUCCCCCCACCUAAAGUCCAGCGGAGCUAUACCUGCUGCAGUGGAUGUGAGGUGAAAACAGGCCAAAAGAGGAACUGUAGAGACGGAGGGGCUGAAGCAAGGUCACUGUGCCUUGUGGUCUUGACCUCUGAUCCCAUCCCACCACCAUCAUCAAUAACACACCUAGAUAAACUGUAACCUGAGAUUAAAAACACCAGCCCAACACUAAACGUGCUCAAAGCAGUAAACUGCUUCAAACACUGAAGACCAUGAAGAUGAUGAUACACUGGCUGGAAAGUUUAUCUAAGACUGAAAGCGCGAGGAGAAAGCCUUUUGGAGUAGCUACAUUUAGAGUACUGAACUUUAGAGGACCUAUGAACUAGGCCUCGAUCCACUGGAGGGCAUCUGCUGGGACAAAUGAGGCUCUAGAUGAUAAAACCCAGUGAACGACUGAAAAGGAGAAAUGAGUGCAGUGUUGGACGAGGCACGGAUGAGAGUAAAGCCUUGCUUUGAGGGGCUCUUGCUGGACAUUCUUACGGCUGAUCAUCUGAGCUGCUCUAGAACCUCUAGAAAGUUCUCCAUUCUGUAGCAUCUAACUGCUCCUCUGGGAACUGUGACUCUGAACUUUGCAGACCACGAGGAAAGGACUAUUUUUCAGUAAUUUUCUUCAGAAUAUACUAUUUAUAGAUGCAAAAACUCUUUCUAUAUAUAUCUCUCUAUCUAUCUCUCUUGCUCUUUCUCUCCCAGCACACAAACAAACCAAUGUAAUAUCCAUUAUAUGACUGUUGACAUUUUCUAACUGUCCCUGAAACUGCUUUUUGUUGUUGUUCUUAUUGUUGUUUAUUAUAUUACAGCAUAUCGUCAAUCUCAGAAUUAGCAUGAUGGGAAAAAUAGGUGCAAGAGACAGAAAAGGAAAGAUGCUUUAUUUUUGUUAUGAAAAUAUAUUAUGCUUAUGUAUAUUCCAGCAAGAAGUAUGUUUUUGUUCUUACAUUGUGGUGAAAGUUGUUGUGUAUUUUAUCUGAGCUGAGAGCCUUUUAUCGCUGAAGAUGAAGCUCAGUGCAGCAGAAGAGAGCGAAUUACACUGUAAUUGAGCAGAACGGAGGAUAUUUAGCCAGAGAUAAGGGGAUUGGGGGAUGUAUAUGCUUCAAACAACCCUACUUUGCUGUUAUAUUGCUAUGAAAUACACACAAACUCCCACAAAGCUCCCACAAUUUCACUAAAGCUGUGUGAUCUAAUAUGGUUAAUAAUGAGCACUGUUCUGGGCUGGGUUUCCCCCAAUCAUCUUAGCAUAUUAGCAUCUUAGCAAAAGGAUUCUAAAAUGUAGUAAGCAUCACACUGGACACCGUCUCUAUUAGUGAGGAUGAUUUAAAUCUCUGAAGAACCAAAAUCUACACGCAAAACGGGUGGUCUUAAUCUUGAGCAGCACUUAUGCUAGCUGUACCCUCACCAAUCACAAGGCUGAUGUGGCUUGGACCACCACAGCUUUAACAGAACUGUGUUCCCCCAUGGUCUCUCUUUGUUUGAGACAGUAAAACUUACAGAGAAAAAGCUAACAACCAAGCGAAAGCUAACCUAGCAAGUGUAACUGAGCUAGCUGAACAAGCUAGCUCAUUCGUUUGCCCAUGUGUUUGUCCAUCUGUUUAUUCGUUCAACUGGCCAACUCCAGCUUUCCCUGGAUGCAUGUCCAGCAGUAAAGUGAAUAAUAACCUUACCUUUAUUAAGCAGUUGCUAUGUAAAAUCUGGAUGAUGUUGGAGUACCGUUUUUAACACCUCCUUGUCGACAAUACCUUGUCGUUUGCCCCUUCAAUGACACCAUCUCACGGGCUGUUCUACCACUGAAAGAACACAAGAUCACGUCAAUGGUGGAUGAAGGUGUUUAUAAGCCAUAGCAGUAAAAAAAUUCAAUUAUUUUAAAACUAUAACCAUCAUUUUAAUGUUCAAGCUAGGAUUUAUGUAGGAAACUGCUCCAUCUGUUAUACACGACCGCCUACACUGUCAUUAUGUUACUCUGCUAGGUUGCUAGUUAGGAAGCUAAGGCCUACACAGCUAACAACAGCAAAAAUAGCCUUGCAGAGCCAGAUGUGAUCUCAUAAUGAAAACGUCUGGGGACAAGUGGGUGAGAAUGUAGGCUUACCAGGGUGGGAAAAACCUGUGUGUGAAAUUUCUGAACUGAUUCAUCUCAUGAAGGUGCAAUUUGAAACGGGAAGAUGGUGCGCUAGUCAACUAUGUCUGACUGACAAGCUAGUGAUUAGAUGUAACUGAAGUUAGCAUGACUGAAAAGUGCCCACAAAAACCUCCAAAUAAGCAGAAAGAUGGGUCAGAACGUAUUACACGUGAUAAAAAUGGACAUUACCUCCUGCAAAGGAAAAACGAAUGUUAGCUUAUGAUAGCGUUUUGCUAGCUAGCUUUUUUUCACUUGUGUUUUUGAUUGUACUUGAGACAUGGACUAGGAGGACUAGUGGACUCUUCUCCUAAUGGACUAGGAGAAUCUCGGGGCAGGUUUUAGGAGGGGUGUGCCUAGCGGUGGAUGCAGUCCACCCCCAAAAGUUUAACAAGUGUUCCGCAGUUGUGUAAUCUCAUUAUUCUCAACAGAACUGUAGGCGAUACACAAUAUAACACAAGUUCUUAAACCAAAGUGUACAGCCAGACAAAACAUUGCCGUUCACAUUUGUUGGUAUGUUAUGCUCAUGUUUAAAAAUCACACAUCUUUUUGCAUGGCUAGCUGAUUAGCUCACUGUUGCUAACCUAGCCAAGGGCUUCGCAGUUCUCAGCAGUAAAGUGACGUUGAGGCUGCGUUAAAAAUAGUAUUUUAAAGCUAGUUACCCAACUUUGUGAGCCAACCCACCAAACUUCCUUUCCUUAGCCCCUCUCCCUCUGGGAUUAUAUGAAUAUCGAUCAGCUUCUUAGAUGAAGUGGGCGAUUUAGUCCCCACCCCUUCAGAGAAGUACUGAAGAAGUGAAAGAAAAGCAGGGGACUGUAAUUAGACUGAACUGAAAGUGUGCUGUUUGUGCAGAGUGUACCGGGUGUUCUAAGGGAAUACUGCUGCUGUUUUUGUAUUAAGGGCGCUGACAUUUCACUGAAUAUUAGAGGUCUUUGAUGAUGAUGAUGUAAUUGGUGCUAUAUUUAUAAUGCAAGCUAGAAAUGUAUCGUAGCCGACCUUCACCCUAACCAUUCAUAUAAACUUUUUUUUUUUUAAGUAGCUUUAUAUAUAGAACAGGGACCAUUGUUCAAAAAGAAAACAACAGACAUUAUCAUUGAGCUUUUAUUUUGUAAUUGUUAUGCCCUUGAUUGGAUAAAAUAACAAUGACUAUAAUUUAUAUAUUUAUGGUUUCAGUAAUAAAAUACAUUUCUGCUCAUUAAACUUUAUACAAAAGAAUACAAAAGAUGGUGGUGUUCUUCUUCAUACAGUCGACAGUAUGUACACAUGUACAGUCGUGUGCGAAAGUUUGGGCGCCCCUGGUCAAACUGCAUGUUUUGUUGUUGUAAGUGAAAAUAAACAUACUUCUGCAAA